GAUGAACGCUAGCUACAGGCUUAACACAUGCAAGUCGAGGGGCAGCAUGGUCUUAGCUUGCUAAGGCCGAUGGCGACCGGCGCACGGGUGAGUAACACGUAUCCAACCUGCCGUCUACUCUUGGACAGCCUUCUGAAAGGAAGAUUAAUACAAGAUGGCAUCAUGAGUUCACAUGUUCACAUGAUUAAAGGUAUUCCGGUAGACGAUGGGGAUGCGUUCCAUUAGAUAGUAGGCGGGGUAACGGCCCACCUAGUCUUCGAUGGAUAGGGGUUCUGAGAGGAAGGUCCCCCACAUUGGAACUGAGACACGGUCCAAAACUCCUACGGGAGGCAGCAGUGAGGAAUAUUGGUCAAAUGGACGAGAGUCUGAACCAGCCAAGUAGCGUGCAGGAAGACGGCCCCUAUGGGUUGUAAACUGCUUUUAUAAGGGAAUAAAGUGAGUCUCGUGAGACUUUUUGCAUGUACCUUAUGAAUAAGGACCGGCUAAUUCCGUG
rnacentral:rRNA from 1 species